UACGUAGGUGACCAGCGUUGUCCGGAUUUACUGGGCGUAAAGAGCGCGCAGGCGGUCGUUCAAGUCGAGUGUGAAAGCCCCCGGCUCAACUGGGGAGGGUCAUUCGAUACUGAUCGACUUGAAGGCAGGAGAGGGAAGUGGAAUUCCCGGUGUAGUGGUGAAAUGCGUAGAUAUCGGGAGGAACACCAGUGGCGAAGGCGGCCUUCUGGGCAUUUCCUGACGCUGAGGCGCGAAAGCGUGGGGAGCGAACCGG
rnacentral:rRNA from 1 species